AGCGAACGCUGGCGGCAGGCCUAACACAUGCAAGUCGAACGAACCUUUCGGGGUUAGUGGCGGACGGGUGAGUAACACGUGGGAACGUGCCUUUAGGUUCGGAAUAACUCAGGGAAACUUGUUCUAAUACCGAAUGUGCCCUUCGGGGGAAAGAUUAAUCGCCUUUAGAGCGGCCCGCGUCUGAUUAGCUAGUUGGUUGAGGUAAUGGCUCACCAAGGCGACGAUCAGUAGCUGGUCUGAGAGGAUGAUCAGCCACAUUGGGACUGAGACACGGCCCAAACUCCUACGGGAGGCAGCAGUGGGGAAUCUUGCGCAAUGGGCGAAAGCCUGACGCAGCCAUGCCGCGUGAAUGAUGAAGGUCUUAGGAUUGUAAAAUUCUUUCACCGGGGACGAUAAUGACGGUACCCGGAGAAGAAGCCCCGGCUAACUUCGUG
rnacentral:rRNA from 1 species